GAUAAGGCUAUACUACUUCUGUUGUUUAAAUCCAAAGCAACAUCAAAAAGAAUUUCUCUAUGUGUGAAAUUAAGCUUAAUUAUUAAGUUCCUUAAAUUUGUUUUGUCUCCAUCAUAAUGGGUAUGGCAAGGUUUAGGAGUUGGAGGUAAGGUUUAGGAAUGGAGGGUACAUUUUCAAACAUGUUAAUUUAUUUUAAGGCUGUGGUAGGACCAUGCAUAUGCAUUAAUCUGUAAUUAGGUAGCCACAUAUUUCUAGGUAGGCAGCAAUAUACAUGAGAAUUUCCUUUUUUAUCACUAUCGCUAAGUUUCUUAGUGGCUAAGUCCUUAUUCCUUAAUAAGGUGUCAAAAUAGUGAAUUAUUAAACUUAUGAUUAUUGAACCUAGUUUGCUUGCAUUCAAAUUCCCAUGUCUCUAAUACAUCCUCAUGUUGCCAUGAGGUUACUUUCCUUAAACUUUACUUAUUGCACCUGUUUACCCUGUUGAAAACACCUUCAGAGGCUCUCAUUGCUUAAUGAAUCAUAUCCGACUCUAUAAUAGCAUUUCAGUGCUCUUCACUGUCUACCACCAUGUAUGUUUCUAAUUAUAACAGCACCCCUUGAUCCAUCCCCUUACACACCCAAAGUAUCGAAUACUCUCUCAUCUCAUAGUACCUCAAUACUUUUUCUUACUCUCACCCCUUCACAGAAUCCUGAGGCUGUCCCAUGACUCUUCACUCAUUAUGCUUCCUGAAUGCCAAGAUGCCCUGCAGAAAGACUGUGUUGUCAGAAAUUGGAGCUGAAGUUUCUCAAGGCAGCUGGCCAACCAGGUGACAGUUCUGGAUGCCAGAAUUCUUCAAUCCAGCUGUUGGCAAGACUGGUCCCUCCUGGAGGCUCUGAAGAAGAAUUUGUUCCAUGCUUUUAAGAAGUCUCUCUCCUAGCUUCUGAUGGCUACUGUGGCUGCAGAGUUCAAGUUGGGCCUUCCUUGGCUAUUUGCCAUCCCAAUGCCAAUUAGUGUACACAGAGCCUGGAUUCUUCUCCAGCCAGGAGGGGCAUGGUUACAGCCUGGCCUCAUCAUCAGAAGGUUUGGGGGUACAUGUGAAGAACAUGCAAGAUUGUUGCAUAGGUACGCACAUGGCAGUGUGAUUUGCUGCCUUCUCAUUCUUUAUGGCAAGAAAGUACUAUGAUACUAGAUGGAAGCAGAAUCAUUUGUUGGCUUUUGAAAUGUGCACCAGGUCAACCAGGGGGUUGUGUGUUUUGUGUUUCACCAGUUGGUGUAUGAAUAAAGGCUGUUACUCCUUACA
rnacentral:lncRNA from 13 species